GAGGCAACACUUCAGCUGCUGGGAAUGAUCUUCUGCAAGGACCUUCUGCUCCUUUGUAAUCUUCCUAAGCUGAAUACAGUCUCUUCACCCAAGAGUAAGUCCCCUCCCUGGGGAUAGCUUAAGUCUAAUGGUCAGUUGGUAAGUAUUGCCUUUGAAGAUAUGUAGAGUUGCUAACAAAUGACUGACUCUGGACCUGAACAAUGAAAGCCAGAGAAUGAAUGACAUAUCCGAGCAAGUCAUGCUGAUCAGAAAACUGAAGUUGCAGAGCAAAUUCCCACUCUGAAAUCUGGAAGAGAAGCCACUGGGGCCAUCAGCUGUUGGAGCACUUACAUGAUCACUUUGACCAGUUUUUAGAGUGUCUAAUUUCUUGGUGUUUGGAGGUAUCUCACAGCCUACAUGAAAGGUUUUAGGCUCAUCUUGUUCAUAUCCUGCCUCAGAUGCGGAAUCAGCCAACUCCCUGAGCACCCCUACUUCAUUUUAGUGAGCAACACAGAUUUUGAUAUGAGGUAUUUUUUUCAUGUAUUAUAGCCAUUUUUUAUCCUAGCAAUGUUUUCUUUGAAUUAUGGCAUCUUUAAAAGUGAAAUUUUAA